rnacentral:tRNA from 1 species
GAGGGUAUAGUUCAGUGGUAGAGUGCAUAUCUAGCAAGCAGGAGGUCCUGGAUUCAAUCCCCAGUACCUUCA